UACAGAGGGUGCAAGCGUUAAUCGGAGUUACUGGGCGUAAAGCGUGCGUAGGUGGAUAUUUAAGUCGGAUGUGAAAUCCUUGGGCUUAACCUGAGAAUUGCAUUCGAUACUGGAUGUCUAGAGUAUGGUAGAGGAAAGUGGAAUUCCCGGUGUAGCGGUAAAAUGCGUAGAGAUCGGGAGGAACACCAGUGGCGAAGGCGGCUUUCUGGUCCAAUACUGACACUGAGGCACGAAAGCGUGGGGAG
rnacentral:rRNA from 1 species